GGUGUUGGGUUCAGGGGUGUGUUUGGGUGUAGAUCGUAGUGCUGAGUGUAGGGUAUCCAGUUUGAGUCAUACCUCCUGACUUUCGGCACGUGCAAGUCGGCACGAAUAGCCCAGCUGGGGAAGGCCUACCCCGCCCCCCCACCCCCUAACCCUCUUCAGCACUCCGCACAAAGAGAAAGGGAGGAGUGGUUUGGGAGGGAGGAGAGAGAGAGAAAAAAUGGAAAGGUGGUGAUGAUGGGUGGGGGGGGCUGUUGGGCAGGGUGGAGCUGCUAAAAAAUAACGAGGAGGAGGAGGAGGAGGAAGAGGAGGGGGCGCUGUUUUUAAGAGGCAGCUCUUUGUGCCUGAGGUUUAGGGGCAUGAAAAUAAAGGAGAAGAAUGUAAUCAAUAUAUAGGAUAUGGUUUGGGGGUCUGAGACAAAGAGAGUGGACAACAGACAGAAGGGGAGGUGGAUGGAAAACAAUGUGUGAUGAAAACUCCCAACAGCUGUGGCGCUGUGUUACAUAAAACCUGGCAGCGUCGGGGCAGCAGUGGGAUUCAGGAUUGUAUGAAGUGGGUGCCUGGUGGGAACGGCAGAGCAGCCACCAGGGAGGUGAGAGUUAAAGAGCUCGAGCAACAGCUGAGGGCUCCUCCCCCCUCCUCUAUCCAUUCAUUUUUUAUUAACUGCGGCACCAGGCGGCCGACAACCUCCCUCCGACAUCAAACACCGAUACCAAUCGCUGAUGCCAACAAGCCACCGACCACAACUCGUCUGUGCCAUGCAGGGUAUUGAUCCAGACCAGGACUCAAGAGUCAAGUCAUGUUUACUGUGCACAUGUCGGAGUAUAAGCAGCGUAGCGGGACAGACAGUGCGCAGACCAAAAUCUGCUAAUUGUCAUUAAUUAGAGAUGAAAACCUGACCUGAGUCCCUAUAUAUUAAUGACUGCAUGCAAGUGACGCAAUUGUUGGUGACUAUGUACAUUAAAAUGUCACCUGGAAUCCCAUGAGGAUUUACAGGAUGAGAUGUUUUCAAAUCCUUUGAUAAAAUAGUUAACCAUUAAA